UCUUACUCCUCAGACAUGCUUUCCCUCUCUCCCCAUUUCUACUGUAGCUGCAUUGGACCAAAUACAACACAGGAGGUUAUUUCAGCCACUUAAAUCAUUAGUCAGCGCUGGUUUUUGGAGCAAGCUUGUUAAAGGAUGCCGUGUGUGUAGUGUGUGCAUGUGUGUGUUUGUGUGUGUGUGUGAACGUGCUGCUGCUGCUGCUGAUGCACGCCUCCUUCUCUUCAUCUCUGAGGAGCUGUGGACAGAAGCUGAGGACGUGAGGAGAGAUUUGUCACACUACUUUUACAUCAUCAACAUCUGAUCAGACAUGGUCACCGCAUAGGAAUCUGGUACCACGGCGAAAGUCAGCCCAGCGACAAGGUACCCGAGGAGGAGUUGAGAGGUUGAAGAAUUUACACAGAGGCAUGGCAGCGGAGGAGAAGCCAGGUGUGAAGAGCAGCAGCUCCAUCGUUCCCUGUUUCCUGUUUGUUGAGCUGGUGAUCAUGGCUGGGACGGUUCUCCUGGCUUACUACUUCGAGUACACAGACACUUUCCCCGUGCACGUCCAAGGGUUCUUCUGCUAUGACAAGACCUUCUCCAAGCCCUACCCAGGACCAGACAGCACCAGCAAGAUCCCCCCUGUGCUCAUCUACUCGCUUGUCUCAGCCAUCCCCACUCUCACGAUUCUUGUUGGAGAAUUGUGCGCUUUCUUCACCAAGGCUGAAGGGAGCCAGGAGAAGACCAUUGUCACUGCAGAUUGCUGCUACUUCAACCCCCUACUGAGACGCAUCAUACGCUUCUUAGGUGUCUAUGCCUUCGGUCUGUUUACCACGACCAUCUUCGCCAAUGCCGGCCAGGUUGUGACAGGAAACCAGACUCCUCACUUCCUUUCGGCAUGUCGACCAAACUACACAGCACUGGGCUGCCAGUCCAACAUGCACUACAUCACAGAACGCCGCGCCUGCACCGGCAACCCUCUCGUGGUCAUGUCUGCACGUAAAUCCUUCCCAUCCAAGGACGCCGCGCUCAGCGUCUACUCUGCAGUGUACACAGUGAUGUACGUGACGCUGAUGUUCAAGACCAAAGGCACACGUCUGACUAAGCCCACGAUCAGCUUCACCCUGCUCUGUCUGGCCAUGAUCGUAGGCGUGGUCAGGGUGGCUGAAUACCGCAACCAUUGGGCAGAUGUCCUGGCGGGAUUCUUCACUGGUGGAUCCAUUGCUGUGUUUUUGGUGACAUGUGUGAUUAACAACUUCCAGCAGUUGCAGCCCAGGCCUCCUGCACCAACACCCCAGCACCCCGAGUCCACGCUGGGUAUGCCCAUGGUGACGCUUCCCUGCGUAGAGAGCCCCAUCGAAAAGUUAAGUGGUCCUCAGCAUCCAGCACUUUGCUCCCCCCCCCCACUUUACAACACCUACGUUCAACCAUUCUAACCAACUUUAAGUCUUUUUUGCCUCCCACCUCACAAUCCCCGUUCUUUGUUCCCAUGUUUCUGUUUUGUACAUACCCCGCGGAGAUCUCCGUUCAGCGGGAUCACAUGACCAUCAGCCCUAUCGGUUCCCCGCCAAACCCGAUGUCCUCAUACUGUCUCGCUCCAUUUCCAGCGAAGUCUAGACCAGCCCGAGCAGCACUCGCCGCGCUGUGCCGCCCAUCCAGGUGGGCGGUACGCAACCCUGCACCGCUCUUAUUCCACGCAGGUCUAGAACUGCACAUACCCACCCUCCCCCGCCUUCUUUUUGCCCCGCCUCAACUCCCAGGGAACCGAUAGGCAAGACUUUUUCAACUGACUUUCUACUUUUGAUACAAACUCAUGUAAUCUGGCGUGCUUUGUGAAGAAAUACAAACUGUGACCACAGAGAAUGUCCACACUCAACCCCCCACCCCCCCUCCCAAAAUGUGCAUUGGAGAAGGCGGUACUUGACAGUGAAAUUCCAUCAUCACCGUUUCAUGUGACGUUGGACCAAAGAAACCCUGUGAAGGAUACGUUUACUCACCUAACACAACCUUUUCUUGCUUUUUCCUCACUCCCUCGCUCAAUCUUUUCACUCGCAUUCUCUAUCUCAUUACUUUCAUGCAUGCUGCGCCUCAAAGGCACACACAUACACACACGUACACACACACACGGUAGUCGGGAGUCUCCAUGUUCCAGUCCUCUCCGCUUGAGGUUUACUCACAUCAAAGGAUCCAUUUUGGAUCUGUCGGCAGACGCAGCAGACAAAAGCAAACAGGAUUAAAGAAGAAACAUCUUCACAUGUCGAUCAGCCGCGUGUUUCUCUCUCAGAUGGUCGCAAACUGAUGCAAAGUACUUGCGUCUGCGAUAAGGAAACAGGUGUUCUUUUAGGCAGGGAGGCUUUAUUUAAUGCCCGCAUUUUUCUGUCAGUUAGUGCUGGAAUGGGCACCGCUGAUCAUGUUUGCAAGUUGGAUGGGAUUUGGAGAUUAUUAUCUUGUAUCCAAAAGCUCUUUGUCAACACAGGCGCUCUUAAAGCAAAGUUCUUAAAGGCAACAAGGCUAAAUCUGUUUUUUUGUUUGGGUUUUUUUUUUUUUUUUUCCAUUGCUCCUUCCUCGCCGUCUUCUACAUUUGAUUCUCGCCUCCAUUUCAGAGGCACGGGAAAACAAUCAUACAUAUUUUAUAGGGUUACCCCUACACACACGGCUGAUGUAUCUGAGGUCAGCUUUUAUGGGAUUAUGGUCCUAUAUCAAACCAAACACCCUAUUGCAUAACACCAGGGUUCCAUACGCGGUUUACCUUUCUAUAUUCUAUACUUUUUCCAGACUCACUAAAUAGAUAUGCAUCAUUAGAGCUGCAACAAUUUCAAUUUCAGCCUCUCAAGUGUGCAUAUUUUUUCAUUCCCUUAGUCAUCCGUGAAAGCAGCCCUAUUAUCUUGGUCUUUUAGGCAAAAUAAGACAUUCACAAAUAUCAGAUUUGACUGUGGAAUACAGUCAGCCACAUUUUUGCGUGUUUUCAAACGUUCUGCAGACCAAACCACUUACUACUUGUGUUUGGUUCAUGUUGAUUUGGCAUGUCUAGUCAGCGGGAGCCGCCAUCACCUUUCCAUGACAAUUGGGGGGAUUUUUUUCAACUCAAAUUUUUCACAUCUUAUAUUUAAGAAGUUUUCAACACAACUUGAGACCCUUCUACAGCGGCAUGUUAAUCCUAACUCUAAGUCUGGCGCAGCGCCGCGCACCCACGCCUCCAUCCCUCCCACCGGCGUGACAGGGUUUAACGCAGCCUAGUGUAAUCUUAACCAAUCAAAUGAACACCUCUCAUUGCCGGACUGGACUGCAGAACUCAGAGGCCAAGGUAUGCGUCAUGCUCCACUUACGCCACCUCAUGGGACACUCUCUGUUCCUGACAGUUACAUUAAACACAGCAGCAGGCUAAUCCAGGCAUCUUGCUUGUUUUACACCAGUAUCCCUGCUCUACAGCGCCAAAUAAGAGAACCUUUGAUGGUAUAUUUGCGGUAUCGCCUCCUCAUCGUCCUUAAUAAAAUAAACAGUAAAAAAUAUAUCCUACAGCCAAAUUUUAACGGUGUGCGCGACACUCUGAAAAAGCUGCCUGGUUUUGGUGAGAUUUCUGCACUGUGCGCCUGUCAGUGAAUUUACCAUUGCACAGGCUGCGCUUCGCCUGCGCCAAGAAUAAAGCUGAAAAUAUGGACACCUCCCAUGGUGCGCCAACACGCCCAUCUCGGCUACGAGUCUACCAAAUUGGCUGCUCACUGUGAUGCAUUGGACCAAAUUACCACUGCCACCCUGCGCCACGAAAUUUGAGCCCUAUGUGUUUUUUCUCGCACUCAAGCUAGACAAAGUAACCCAGAUACAUGAGAUGUACCGUGCAGUCACGUAGUAAGCGAACAGGGCAGACAACAACAUGAGAUGCAUUCAUAAACAUUGGGUCAUUACAUAUUUUAAUUUUUUCCCCAGAAAAAAACCCGCAACCCACUUACAAGUCGUAUCAUUAUCCACUAUUUACACUGUAAGCUGUAUAUUGUUGUAUAUAUAUUUUUUUCUCAUCUUUUUCUAUCAAGAUUAAUAUUUUUACGCAGACAUUACCAACACUCUUGGGGGAAUAUCUUGUAUAUAGUAGAUUAAUAGAGACGAGCGUGCAGAGACACCGGAUCGCUCUGAGUUAUUAUUAUCGGAUAUAUUGGCUGGAAAUAUCAAGGUAAUUAGUUUUAAAAUGAGCUGCCUACUGCACGCUGAGACAAGGGCUGCAAACUGGGAAAAGAUCUGUAAAGCUGAACAUUUCAAAGUGAGCCACAUGCAAAAAAAGCCAGCAUAAUUAAAGAAAAACAUGAAUGCUUGUGGCUGAAGCAACAGAAGAAGAGACUUUUCACAGCUAAGAAAGCGCGCAUCUAGCGCAGGGGCGUCCAGCUGUUUUUUUUUUUAUUAGCCUGCGGCACAUUCUAAUAAUAUUUUAAUUUCACAAGAAAACUAAAAACACAACAGCAACAGCAAAAACUGAAUAUUCAGCAGUAACAAGAACAAAGUCAAAAUAUUAAUGUCAUAUUAUGAUGAGAAAAUAACAUCAUUUUAGUAGCAUAAUGUUGAAAUAUUAAAAAGGAUGUCAUUUUUAAACAUGACAUAACAUGAGAAAUAAAACGACGAAUAAUGUGUACAUUUUUGCAUAAAAAGUUAUAAUGUUAUGAGAAUAACGUUUGACAAGAAGUGGAAUAAUUGGAAAAUUAACAGCAGGAAUGUAGCUUUCAUUUUAGAAGCUGUAAUUUUACGAGAAUAAAGUCAAAAUAUUAAGAGAAAAAUUGUCAUUUUAGUAGUGUAGAGUUAAAAUAUUAAAGAAAAAUGUGUUUUUAUGUUGGGCAAAAAGUUAUAAUAAUGUAUGAGAAUAAAGUCACAAUAUUACAAGAAGAACAUGUCUUUUUAGAAAAUGUUGAAAUAUUGCGAAAAAACAAACAGCAAAAAAAAAAGCAAAGACUGAAGUUCAUUCUAUAAAAUGUUUUUUGGACACCCCUGAUAUAAAGUAUACAUCUCGAUAAAAGCAAACCAACACUAGCCCCCCCCCCCCCCCCCUCCUGUAUUUUGCACAACUUUCCCCGUUGUCCUCCCAUCUAUUCCCAGUAUAAGAUGAGCACUAUAAACACCAGCCAUGCAAUACUUUUGUACAUUUCAUCCCCUAUUAAAGACACGGUGUAACAAAUGAAUGAUAACUUUGAUCUUUUAUACAAUUCUUUUUUUUAAUAUUCAUGCCAUUUUGAUUAUAUUUUAUUCCGUUAAGCUGUGAGGUUGAAGUGAACAUUCACUGACUGUCAUGCACUAUGAGAAACCUAAAAAAAAACCUGUGUGGAAGCUCAGUAAGGCAGUACACACACACACACAGACACACACACACACACACAGUACAGGCACGUGUACAAAACUUUGUAUCAAACUGAUGACAUUUGCAGCAUGACACCCCUUCCAUUGCUUCUUUGUCGUCCCCAUGAAGCAGAAAUGCCUUAAGAUUAUCUCCAAUUAUUGGUGCACACAACAGCACAUAUGGGCGAUGACUAUUCUGAGUGUUAUGUGUCUUCAAAUGUUCAGUGCACGAUUAACAUUUGUGCAUUGUGAGUCAGUGCUUGCUGUCUGAGAGCUGCUUUUCGUUUUAAAACCACCCAGAUAUAAUAAAUGUGUCGACGCCAAAAGGAAGGAAUCAUGAACUGGUCAGAAUAUAGAAUAUUUUCCACUGGUUCAGUCCUCUAAAGUUAUUUCUGCUUCAUAGUGAAGAAAAAAACAACAACACCACUCCGGUUGACUGACAAGUAAAUAAAAAGCACCAGUCUCCUUCAGCUCUGCAACUCAGGAGGAAACAUGUUUUCUUUCUUCAAGUCUUGUUGCAGCAAAAGUGUCUGUUUUGUAAAGAUGUGUGUGAUGAGAAAAAUAAAUGGAUAUUGCAAUAACAGAAGAG